GUUUCAGGGCGGGGUGGAAUUCCCCACCGGCGGUGAUCGGCGAACAGCCGCGAGUCCGCGAGCCGAAAGGCAGAACCGGUGAGAAUCCGGUACCGACGGUAUAGUCCGGAUGGAAGAAA
rnacentral:ncRNA from 1 species